rnacentral:rRNA from 1 species
UACGUAGGGCGCAAGCGUUGUCCGGAAUUACUGGGCGUAAAGGGCGAGCAGGUGGCACUACAAGUCUGAUGUAAAAUCUCCCGGCUUAACUGGGAGGGGCCAUUGGAAACUGUAGAGCUGGAGUGCAGGAGAGGCUAACGGAAUUCCCGGUGUAGUGGUGAAAUGCGUAGAGAUGCGGAGGAACACCGAUGGCCGAAGGCAGCCCCCUGGGCUAACACUGACGCUCAGGCACGAAAGCGUGGGGAGCAAACAGG